rnacentral:tRNA from 1 species
ACAAGCGUGCUCCUGGGAGAGCAGUCAGCCUCCAAAACUGACGGAUGGGGUUCGAAUCCUCACGCUUGUG